UACGUAGGGGGCAAGCGUUGUCCGGAUUUAUUGGGCGUAAAGCGCGCGCAGGCGGUCUGCCAAGUUCGGAGUGACAGUUUCCGGCUUAACCGGAAAAGGUCUUCGAAAACUGGUGGACUUGAGGACUUGAGAGGGAGACGGAAUUCCGGGUGGAGCGGUGAAAUGCGUAGAGAUCCGGAGGAACACCAGUGGCGAAGGCGACACGCUGGGCCGUACCUGACGCUAAAGCGCGACAGCAUGGGGAGCAAACGGG
rnacentral:rRNA from 1 species